UACGUAGGGGGCAAGCGUUGUCCGGAUUUAUUGGGCGUAAAGAGCGUGUAGGCGGCUUGGUAGGUCCGCUGUGAGAACUCGAGGCUCAACCUCGAGAUGUCGGCGGAAACCACUUGGCUAGAGUCCGGAAGAGGAGAGUGGAAUUCCCGGUGUAGCGGUGAAAUGCGCAGAUAUCGGGAAGAACACCUAUGGCGAAGGCAGCUCUCUGGGACGGUACUGACGCUGAGACGCAAAAGCGUGGGGAGCGAACAGG
rnacentral:rRNA from 1 species